rnacentral:lncRNA from 1 species
UGAUUGGUAAAUGAUACUUGUAUGAUUGGCUUGUGUACUCCCAUAUGUUGAUUGUGAAUGAAAGCUAGGAGGCUAGUAAGAAACGAAUGCUAAGAUAAUAGAUGACUAUUGAUUGUUAAUGCUACUAUAAGUAGAACUUGAGUGCAAUGUGUAAUGUGUGUGACACCGAUAACGGGUUGCGUCUAGUGAAGGAGUUCAAGUACGAGUCUAAGUGUAAAGGAAAGUGAAUGAGAAUGAGAAUGAGAAUGGAUAAGUGAAAGUGAAUAAGGAUGUGAAAGCAUAAGUGAGUGUAUAAGUGAAUAACGUUAAGGUUAAGCAUGAGUUAAGGGAAUCAUAUAGAGUCUAGAGGGAGUACGUGGGGUAGUAGUUCUACGCUAGGCACCCAUAGGAGUGUUGGAAAAGCUAUGAAUAGCUAAGAACAUGAACUCACUCUUUAAGAAUGGAAGAGACAAUCAACUUGUGAUUGAAUCCUCUCAGCAAAAUAAUCUACACAACCAUCUGAAUCUAGAGAGAUUAAGUGGCUGUGAGAU